UAGGGAAUCUUCCACAAUGGACGAAAGUCUGAUGGAGCAACGCCGCGUGAGUGAAAAAGGGUUUCGGCUCGUAAAACUCUGUUGUUAAAGAAGAACAUAUCUGAGAGUAACUGUUCAGGUAUUGACGGUAUUUAACCAGAAAGCCACGGCUAACUACGUGCCAG
rnacentral:rRNA from 1 species